UGAGCUCGCCGGAUCUGGUGGUGGAGCUCGGGCUCACCUGGAUCGGGAGCCCGAGCUUCACCGCUAGAUCCAGUGAGCUUG
rnacentral:pre_miRNA from 1 species